CUUAGAGGUUAAGCCCGAUGAACCUGAAUAUCCAUUUAUGAGAAAUUCAUCAUUAUAAACUAUAUUAAUAUUAAUUUACUUAAUAAUUUAUAUAUGUGGAUAGUGUGCAUUUUUCUCAUAUAAGGACAUUGUAAUCUAUUAACAUAAUAAAAUAUUUAUCAAAAGAUCAUUUACUCUUAAGUUUAUUUCAAUUAAUUUGCUUUUUAACGCAUAUUAACAUAAAAUAAAUGUAAAUGAUUUGAUAAAGUGUUGAUUGAUUUAUUAUAUAUAAUGCUUAAAUCUUU
rnacentral:rRNA from 1 species